GUCCAUUUCUUCUCGCUGCCGAUGGGGAAGAGGCCACCAUCGCCAGAUAUCGAGAAGAGCUCCUAUGUUAAACAUCCGCCGCCCCCGCCUUUUACCCCGCCGCCUCCAGAGCAAUGGUGCUCAUGGGUUGUGCCGCUCAUAUUUGCGGCUAAUAUAACCAUGUUUGUUUACGCUAUGUAUGUGAAUGAUUGCCCUGCAACUACAGGAUCAGAUAAUUGUAUCCUCUAUGAUCUUUUAGGGAGAUUUUCUUUCCAACCAUUGAAAGAAAAUGCUGUCCUUGGUCCUUCCGUCAUUACGCUGCACCGAUUAGGAGCACUUGAUCCAAUAGCAAUAGUGAACGGUGGAGAAGGAUGGCGCUUCUUUUCUUGCAUAUGGCUACACGCUGGAGUUGCUCAUCUAUUCACAAACAUGAUGAGCCUUCUAUUUAUAGGAAUCCCACUUGAGCAGGAAUUUGGAUUUUUGAGGAUAGGAGUAUUGUACGUAUUGUCUGGUUUUGGUGGAAGCUUGAUGUCUGCCCUUAGUCCGAAGCCGAAUAUAUCAGUCGGUGCAUCUGGUGCACUUCUUGGACUUCUGGGAUCCAUGCUUUCUGAGCUCUUCUUGAACUGGACAAUCUAUGCAAAUAAGUGUAAAUCAGUUUCCACCCUCCUGCUAAUCAUUACCCUGAAUCUAGCGUUCGGUCUCAUUCCUCAUGUGGACAAUUCAGCUCAUAUCGGAGGAUUUCUUUCAGGAUUUCUUCUUGGUUUCAUUCUUCUAAUGCGUCCUCAAUAUGGAUAUGUAAGCCGCAGGUAUAUACCUGCAGGGUACGAUAUCAAAAGAAAACCCAAACACAAAUGCUAUCAAUAUAUGAUGUUGAUUACAGCGUUGAUCGUCCUAAUUAUAGGGUACCUGUGGGGCUUGACAUUGCUGUAUAGUGGCCGUAGAUUGAAAUUUUCUCAUCAAAACUCCAGUUAAUUAGCUAGCUAGUCCUUCAAAGAGUUCGAGACCAGCAAAAUUAUCCUUCUAUUUAUGUACACUCUUACUGACAUGGUAUGUGCUUUCUGUGAGUAAAGAUGAAGGGAAACAAGACAGAAAGAAGACAUCAUGAAGGUUUUGUUUAUUGGCUGGCUUCUAUGGACAUUAAUACACAUUUUGCUUGAGUCGUUACUCUUUCUGUGCUAUGGAAGAA